AGUUACCCCAUGCAUCCAGCAGAGGCCACAGUAUUGUGUUUUGCUGUUGGCAAGAAAGUUAAAACGUUUUCUUUGGUGAAUAAAAAUGACACAGUCUAAAAUGUAGAGUACUUUGAGUUCUACAGUUGUACAGGUUUCAGAUCAUCAGUUCUAUAAUUCUAGAGAACCAAAAACAAUUCCAGCUAACCACUGUUGUAAGAUUUACGAUUUCUUUAAGGCUUAGCCCCCAGUUGGAUAAGGACCUCAACCAGAAGCAGAUAUUUUGAACUGAAGAGAUGAUCCCUAGAAUGUUUAAAUAAAAUAAUCAUGUUUAAAGAAAAUGUAAACAUGAUUUGUAGGAAGGUGUAUUUUGUCUACUGUGUUGUUGAACAAGGACUUGACCGUAUGUGGGACACGUGUGUGAGUGUCUGU